rnacentral:lncRNA from 10 species
ACUUUGAGAGGACGAAGCGGGCGGAUCACGAGAGACGAGGUUUUGCCAUGUUGCCAGGCUGGUCUCCAACUUCUGGGAUCAAGCAAUCCUUCCGCUUGAGCCUCCAAAGUGCUGUGAUUGCAGGCGUGAGCCACCGCGCCUAGUUUAGGUUGAGCAGCGAAAGGGAUAGGGCCCAGUGCUUUCUCUGCGAGGUUCAGUUGGCCUGUCCCUGUCCUAUCACCGUUUGUCACCGUUUGGGGAGCGCCACGGAAUGCCCUGUCUCCAAUCGAGAGGUGCACUCGUCGCCCUGGCAACGGAGUCCG